GAAGAUAAGCCGUGAGGACAAGACAAGAAACAUGCUUCUCCCUUCCUGGUGAAUUUUUCAAGGUAUACUCCGAGACCAAACAUCUAAAUUACAGAUGAUUAAGACAUGUUCAGCUUAGACGUCAACAUUAGAUCUUCUCUUUUCAGGUUUGACCUGCGUGGAUCUCUCUUGCAUACCUUCUGGAUGGAUGGAUCGCUCCUUUCCUUGACGCAUAAAUCAUUGAUAGAAUCGUGAUCUUGGAAGCAAGGGUGUUGUAAUUAUACUUAUGUGUCAAAUAGCAGUAAGCUAAAGUAAAAACAAAUCAGAAGGCUGGAGUUUUAUUUCCGGGAGCUAAACACUCAUGUAUUGCGGCGUAAUUAUUGAUUCGAG
rnacentral:lncRNA from 1 species